rnacentral:misc_RNA from 1 species
GUAUUGAUAGCGCGUGAUUGCGCAAAGAACAUUCUACACUAGGGCGUUUGAUGUUAAAAACGUGAGCACCCCCCCCUCCGAGGAAGGGAGGACACACGCGGUGAUGCACAAAGGGGUAAGAUGGAUAUUUGUAUGUGAGAGGACUCGGGCGUGCACGACAAAAAAGUCAGCGACAGCCCUUGCACCUCAGUUUUACGAUAAUGAUCCUUCCGCAGGUUCACCUACGGAAA